rnacentral:rRNA from 1 species
AGAGUUUGAUCCUGGCUUAGGAUGAACGCUAGCUACAGGCUUAACACAUGCAAGUCGAGCGGAACUGCUUCGGCAGUUUAGCGGCAGACGGGUGAGUAACACGUAUCCAACCUUCCCCUUACUCGGGUAUAGCCUCGGGAAACUGAGAGUAAUCCCCGAUGUGGUGUACGCUUCGCAUGUAAUGCACACCAAAGAUUAAUCGGUAAGGGAUGGGGAUGCGUUCCAUUAGCUAGUAGGCGGGGUAACGGCCCACCUAGGCGAUGAUGGAUAGGGGUUCUGAGAGGAAGGUCCCCCACAUUGGAACUGCGACACGGUCCAAACUCCUACGGGAGGCAGCAGUGAGGAAUAUUGGUCAAUGGCCGGGAGGCUGAACCAGCCAAGUAGCGUGCAGGAAUGACGGCCCUACGGGUUGUAAACUGCUUUUGUGCGGGAAUAACGGUCGACACGUGUGUUGAUGUGCAUGUACCGUACGAAUAAGGAUCGGCUAACUCCGUGCCAGCCGCAGC